rnacentral:pre_miRNA from 12 species
GGUGCCUGGGAAGAAGUUGCCCGUGUUAUUUUCGCUUGAUACGUGCCGAAACAAACAUGGUGCACUUCUUUCUCGGUAUC